rnacentral:lncRNA from 1 species
AAGAGGACCAGGAUACUUUGAUUUCUUAUGAUUUAGGCAAUCCAAACAUGAUAUGAUCAUAAGUUGUGUCGAAUAAAUACUCAAAUGAAUUGAUUAAUAUUUCACUAUGUGAAAUUCGACUUUAUUNGAAUAAAUACUCAAAUGAAUUGAUUAAUAUUUCACUAUGUGAAAUUCGACUUUAUUAUUAAUUAUGAUAGGAUUAAUGCUAUUUAUUCAACAAAUUCGAUUGAUUGAUACGGGUUGAUUUUCUGUU